GAGAAGUCAACAUGCGGUGAAAAGACCACAAACAAUCUCUCCUCCGGCUGCCUGCGCCGGAAGUAUCCCGUUGUUUGUCAGCCUUGCCGCCCCCACCCCCACCGCCACCCCCAACCCGCCCCUGCACAGGGAGCCGACGAGAACUGGCCCAACACCCACCCGGAAGAGCCCUCCCGUCCAAGAGCCGACGGUCCGCCCACGGAGAUGAGCCACCGGAAAUGACUCGAGAAUGAACGGCCACCAGGGAUGUGCCCCACAUUGAAGGUGCACCCAGGACCCCACCCAGACCCCACCCUCCAAUCUGAGCUCCCACAGACCCCUUCAGACGCGAGCGCUGCUUCCCCUCACCCACAAGCCCCAGAGCCCACCAUCCUCCAGAGCAUCACGAGGCAUCUAACUGACCUCAGCAUGGCCUCCCAGCAGCCAAGGGCCCGGAGCAUAAUGAGAAGGUUCUGUGAAAGGAAACUUUAAAAUAUUCAAAGAAGGGACCAGGUGCUCCUUUGGGUCCAGAGCCCCCAGCCCUGCAGGGCAGAGGGGCAGCCCCUGUGACCACUGUGUGACCACCAGUGAGCCCAAAUGCCAGGAAAGAGAACCAGCGAUCCCAGAAAAUAGACAAUGGAGAACUCCCGCCCCCUAUUUUGACCAGACUGCCACCUCCCUGCCAAGAACCAGGGCUGGCCCCUCCCUCCACCCAGCAAUACC